rnacentral:rRNA from 1 species
CGUCGUGCGUUUUGAAAAACGAACCAGGGAGUGUGCCUGUUUGACGAGUCUAACCCGAUCAUCGGGGAAGGCGUAGGGAAACCGACAUGGCCGCAGCAUUGCGAGGGCCGCCGUGUUCAAGCGCGGGGAGUCAAACGGGCACGACCCGAAACCGGACGAUCUAGACAUGGACAAGGUGAAGCGUGCCGAAAGGCACGUGGAGGCCUGUUAGAGUUGGUGUCCUACAAUACCCUCUCGUGAUCUACGUC